rnacentral:rRNA from 1 species
UACGAAGGGGGCUAGCGUUGCUCGGAAUCACUGGGCGUAAAGGGUGCGUAGGCGGGUCUUUAAGUCAGGGGUGAAAUCCUGGAGCUCAACUCCAGAACUGCCUUUGAUACUGAUGAGCUUGAGUCCGGGAGAGGUGAGUGGAACUGCGAGUGUAGAGGUGAAAUUCGUAGAUAUUCGCAAGAACACCAGUGGCGAAGGCGGCUCACUGGCCCGGUACUGACGCUGAGGUGCGAAAGCGUGGGGAGCAAACAGG